CAAUGGGGCAUUUCACCAAACCAAGAAAGACCAGAUUAUGAUAGGAUCUGGGGGCAGAGGUGGAGUAUAGGUAGAAUGUAAAAGCAGCAUUGUGGGGACAGGCUCAAAGCAGAGCAGGCAGUGUAUAACGGGGGUCAAGAUGAAGCCUGGACUAGGAAGUGGACCCAGGUCCUGAUUCCUUGGAAAACUACAAAGUUAGUUGGGAAAAAAAGCAUGGAAUGUUAUGCCUGAAAACCCCUAUCAGAAUUUCUGUAUCUACGGUAGAAACUGAAACUGCUUCUCUGUGUCAAAGUGACUCACGUGGCUCAGGUCUUCCAGGCAAGAGUGGAAAGUUUCAAUCUUACUGAUAGGAUUGCACGCUGCAAAAUUUUGUCACAAAAGUUCACCGUGAUUUUUGUUCAGGUUGCAGGAGUAAAAAGCAAGGCUGGGGCCGUCACUGAAAGGCGAGCAGUAGUCCCUCAAAAGAGUGAUCAUGAUACGGCAGAUCUGGCAGGAAGAUUGCUUCCCGUUAACUUUGCAGCUGGCUUUAUCAGUGUCUGCUGUGGCACUCUGAUGAAUGCCAGAAACAGGGCCGACUUUUCCUCUCUCAGUCUGGACUGGUUUUUAACCCUUUCACCAGUAACGGAGGCCCAAGCUCCGUUCAACUGAUCCCCAAAGAUCCAGGUCAGCCCACAGGCUCCUAACAACCAAGGAAGCACAGGGAUGGGGUUUGGCCCCAGAAGUCUUUAUCCGCCUGCAAAGCCAGCUGAAUGACAAAUUUGUGAGCAAAGUAAGGUCUUUAGAGGAAACUUGGUAACUAGUACUUAGAAAGCAGUGCUUGGAAAGAUGGUAGGACAAAUUUUCUGAGCAUCAUGGGACAUACUGGUCAUCCAUCACUCUAAUAUGGGCAUAGAGGACACAUGGGUCGAAUUGCUUACGAAUCUCCAAACCUCAUAAUUAGGGCGACUUCUGCUCCAAUGACUGCCUUACUUCAGUUAUCUCCCCCAAUCCCUCCUCUAUAGUGAACCAAUUUCAGUGAAACUCAGAUCUUGCAUUUGGUAACAAUGAGCUCACAGAUCAAGUAUCUUGGCAAUUCAUCAGGGAGAUUGUUACACUUCAGCAGCUCCCAGUUGCCACCCAUGGGCCCAGAGGCUCCAGGAGUGUGGGUUCCUCUCCAGCAUCUUCAUUUGUAACCAUUCUGAGAGGUUGCAAAUCACACAAAAGUAAGGGUUAAGGAAUGUCCCCACCCCUACCCCGGGGGCAAUAGAGGAAGUGAACUCACAUUCCCUUUAUCAGAGGGGCUUCCUCUCUGGGGGGGGGGGCUCACCUGAGUUCUUUUCAGCCCAGUUAGAGUCAGACAAGUUUACAAGAAACAACCUCGCUAAAGGAAGAAAUAAGCUAUUUCCUCUGCCGUCUAUCCCCCCCCCCCUUGUCCUACCACCUUUAUAGAAGGGAAACGGGGCCCAUGUAAUCAUGAAAAUCUGCCAAGAUGCUAUUAUCUCAAGAGAAUUGAAUAUGUCAUUAUUUUGGUUUCUGUAAUUUCUUCAAGGACAGUGAGGAAUUAUCUUGCCAUCUUUCCACGCCCUUAAUACCUCUUGUAGAUGUUGGUUUUUGACGUUCCAGUUCAUAGAGUACCAUACCCCACUGCAUGCACCACUCCAGGUUACCCUCAGUCUAACACCUGGGAUGGGAAGUUGAAAGCAGUCAUACCAUAGUCAUCACUUGAGGGUCACCAAGGGAGUCUGUUUCCUUGGGGCAGAGGUUCUAAAGCUUUAGGGUUUAUCAGGAUGUCCUGAAGGGUUUGUCACACAGAUUACUGGGGCCCACUUUGGAACUUCUGAUUCAACAGAUCUUGGGGGGGGGGGAAGCUUGAUUAUGUUUCUAACAAGGUCCCAGGGGAUGCUGAUGGUACUGGACCAGGGACCACAUUUUAGGAGCCACUACUCUGGAGAAACAUCUCAUCUGAGAACAAUGGCCGUAGACCAAAUACACUGGGGGGGGGGGGGGGGGGCGGGGAAGGGAGGGGGGGAAAAGGACUUUGAGUAGGUGGCUUUUUACAUGCUCUUCCAUUAAGGAUGUAGGGUCUGUGUCCCUCUUGAAUCCAGGUGGGCUUUUGAUUGUUGGAGCAAUAGAAUACUGUGGAUGUGAUGCUGUGUGACUUUCCAGGCUAGGUCAUAAACAACCAAGCAGCUCUUGGGAUGCUCAUUCUAGGAGAAAGCAGCCAUCACGUAAGAAGACCAACUACCUUGAGACUGCUGUGUUAGAGAGUCUCUGGCUGACAGUCCUAAUGAGCCUGCUUCCAGCCAUCCCCACCACGGUGCCAGACACCAUCUCUGCCUUUGCCAUGACAAUGUGCUGGGCUAGGUUGCUAGAGGGUAAGGCACAAGGAGCCUGCCUGAACUGCCCCAGCCGUGCUGGCCAAGUCCUCCUAGAUCAGCUGAGUCUGCAAACUGCCAGGCAUAUGGAGUCCAGUCAAGACCAGACUGUCCAGCCACACCCAGUCUUAAUCGCCAAUCCAGAGCUGUAAGCAAAAUAAAUGCUUAUUUUAAGCCACUGAA